rnacentral:rRNA from 1 species
UACGGAGGGUGCGAUCGUUGUCCGGAAUCACUGGGCGUAAAGGGCGCGUAGGCGGCCUGAUAAGUAGGGGGUGAAAUCCUGCGGCUUAACCGCAGGGCUGCCUUCUAAACUGUCAGGCUAGAGCACGGUAGAGGCAGAUGGAAUUCCCGGUGUAGCGGUGGAAUGCGUAGAGAUCGGGAAGAACAUCAGUGGCGAAGGCGGUCUGCUGGGCCGUUGCUGACGCUGAGGCGCGACAGCGUGGGGAGCAAACGGG